rnacentral:rRNA from 1 species
CUGCAACUCGCCUACAUGAAGUCGGAAUUGCUAGUAAUCGCGGAUCAGCAUGCCGCGGUGAAUACGUUCCGGGCCUUGUACACACCGCCCGUCACACCAUGGGAGUCGGUAACACCCGAAGCCUGUAGUCUAACCGCAAGGAGGACGCAGUCGAAGGUGGGAUUGAUGACUGGGGUGAAGUCGUAACAAGGUAUC